rnacentral:rRNA from 1 species
UACCUGCAGCUCGAGUGGUGAUCGUUAUUAUUGGGCCUAAAACGUCCGUAGCCGGUCUUGUAAAUGCCUGGGUAAAUCGUAUGGCUUAACCAUACGAAUUCCGGGUAGACUGUUAGACUUGAGACCGGGAGAAGCUAGAGGUACUCCUGGGGUAGAGGUGAAAUUCUGUAAUCCUAGGGGGACCACCAGUGGCGAAGGCGUCUAGCUAGAACGGGUCUGACGGUGAGGGACGAAGCCCUGGGGCGCAAACGGGAUUAGAUACCCCGGUAGUCCAGGGUGUAAACGCUGCUUGCUUGAUGUUAGUCUGGCUCCGAGCCAGAUUAGUGUCGGAGAGAAGUUGUUAAGCAAGCUGCCUGGGAAGUACGGCCGCAAGACUGAAACUUAAGGAAUUGGGCGGGGAGCACAGCAACGGGUGGAGCGUGCGGUUU